AACGUAGGGGACAAGCGUUAUCCGGAUUUACUGGGCGUAAAGCGCCCGUAGGCGGCUUAACAAGUUGGAUGUGAAAGCUCCCGGCUUAACUGGGAGAGGUCAUUCAAAACUGUUAGGCUAGAGGAUGGAAGAGGAGAGCGGAAUUCCCGGUGUAGUGGUGGAAUGCGUAGAGAUCGGGAGGAACACCAGUGGCGAAAGCGGCUCUCUGGUUCACACCUGGCGCUGAGGGGCGAAAGCGUGGGGAGCGAACGGG
rnacentral:rRNA from 1 species